CUCAAGGGAAAAUAGAUAUUACUUUUAUCACAUUGUCACAGUAUGAAAUGCAGAAUUUCUCAACUUCUUCUGAGAUGAGGAAGCAACAGAGCUGGACAGACAAAAAUGGCUGUGCUAAAUUUACACUAAAGAUAAAGGCUCUGGAAUUAAAUGAAUCUGACAGCUACGUAAUUGUAGGAGAAAUGGAGGAAAUUGGAACAGGAGCACAGACUAAGGAUUUUUCUGGAUUUUCCAUUGUGACAAGAAUGAAAUCUGUAGAAUUUAUCAAUCUCCAACCAUUCUACAAACGUGGACUACCAUACACAGG
rnacentral:lncRNA from 1 species